UACCCGCAGCUCAAGUGGUGGUCAUUAUUAUUGGGCCUAAAGCGUCCGUAGCUGGCUUGUUAGAUGCCUGGGUAAAUCGAUGCGCUUAACGCAUCGAAUUCCGGGUAGACCGGCAAGCUCGAGACCGGGAGAGGCGUGAGCUACUCAAGGGGUAGGGGUAAAAUCCUGUAAUCCUUUGGGGAGGACCAGUGGCGAAGGCGUCACGCUAGAACGGCUCUGACAGUGAGGGACGAAGCCCCGGGGCGCAAACCGG
rnacentral:rRNA from 1 species